rnacentral:rRNA from 1 species
UACGUAGGGAGCAAGCGUUGUCCGGAAUCAUUGGGCGUAAAGCGCGCGUAGGUGGCCCCAUAAGUCCGCUGUGAAAGUCAAAGGCUCAACCUUUGAAAGCCGGUGGAUACUGUGGGACUAGAGUACGGAAGAGGCGAGUGGAACUGCGAGUGUAGAGGUGAAAUUCGUAGAUAUUCGCAAGAACACCAGUGGCGAAGGCGGCUCACUGGCCCGGUACUGACGCUGAGGUGCGAAAGCGUGGGGAGCAAACAGG